rnacentral:rRNA from 1 species
AACUAAUAAAGUGUUUUAUAAUUAUAUUAAAUUUUAUAUGAAGUUCAAUAUUAAGUUUAGAAAUAUUGGCGGUGUUUUAUUAAAUUCUGAGAAUCUUGCAUGGUUAAAGUGAUAUUACACAGUUUAUCUUGUCUUAAAAUUUGGUUUAUGUAUUGCUGUUUAAUUUAUUAUUAAAUUAGAUUAAAAUAAGUAAUAAGAUUUUUGAAUAAUUAAUUCAAGUCAAAAUGUAAUUAUUUUAAGGUUUGUGUGAGUUGCUUUUAUUUAGAGAAAUAUGAAUAAUAAAAAAAAAAGUGAAAUAAUUUUUGAAGAAAGGAUUAGGUUGUAAGAAAAAAUUAAUAAAUUUUUCUGAUAAGUUUUAUAAAUAUGU